rnacentral:rRNA from 3 species
UGGUGGGUAGUUUGACUGGGGCGGUCUCCUCCUAAAGAGUAACGGAGGAGCACGAAGGUUGGCUAAUCCUGGUCGGACAUCAGGAGGUUAGUGCAAUGGCAUAAGCCAGCUUGACUGCGAGCGUGACGGCGCGAGCAGGUGCGAAAGCAGGUCAUAGUGAUCCGGUGGUUCUGAAUGGAAGGGCCAUCGCUCAACGGAUAAAAGGUACUCCGGGGAUAACAGGCUGAUACCGCCCAAGAGUUCAUAUCGACGGCGGUGUUUGGCACCUCGAUGUCGGCUCAUCACAUCCUGGGGCUGAAGUAGGUCCCAAGGGUAUGGCUGUUCGCCAUUUAAAGUGGUACGCGAGCUGGGUUUAGAACGUCGUGAGACAGUUCGGUCCCUAUCUGCCGUGGGCGCUGGAG